GAUGAACGCUGGCGGCGUGCCUAAUACAUGCAAGUCGAGCGAACAGACGAGGAGCUUGCUCCUCUGACGUUAGCGGCGGACGGGUGAGUAACACGUGGAUAACCUACCUAUAAGACUGGGAUAACUUCGGGAAACCGGAGCUAAUACCGGAUAAUAUAUUGAACCGCAUGGUUCAAUAGUGAAAGACGGUUUUGCUGUCACUUAUAGAUGGAUCCGCGCCGCAUUAGCUAGUUGGUAAGGUAACGGCUUACCAAGGCAACGAUGCGUAGCCGACCUGAGAGGGUGAUCGGCCACACUGGAACUGAGACACGGUCCAGACUCCUACGGGAGGCAGCAGUAGGGAAUCUUCCGCAAUGGGCGAAAGCCUGACGGAGCAACGCCACGUGAGUGAUGAAGGUCUUCGAAUCGUAAAACUCUGUUAUUAGGGAAGAACAAAUGUGUAAGUAACUAUGCACGUCUUGACGGUACCUAAUCAGAAAGCCACGGCUAACUACGUG
rnacentral:rRNA from 1 species